rnacentral:rRNA from 1 species
AACGAACGCUGGCGGCAGGCUUAACACAUGCAAGUCGAGCUCUUCCUUCGGGGUGAGCGGCAGACGGGUGAGGAACGCGUGGGAACGUACUCUUUCCUACGAAAUAGCUCCGGGAAACUGGAAUUAAUACCGUAUACGCCAUUAGGGGGAAAGAUUUAUCGUGGAAGGAUCGGCCCGCGUUGGAUUAGCUAGUUGGUGGGGUAAAGGCCAACCAAGGCGACGAUCCAUAGCUGGUCUGAGAGGAAGACCAGCCACAUUGGGACUGCGACACGGCCCAACCUCCUACGGAAGGCAGCAGUGGGGAAUAUUGGACAAUGGGCGCAAGCCUGAUCCAGCCAUGCCGCGUGAGUGAUGAAGGCCUUAGGGUUGUAAAGCUCUUUCAGUAGGGAAGAUAAUGACGGUACCUACAGAAGAAGCCCCGGCUAACUUCGUGCCAGCCGCCGCCGUAA